rnacentral:ncRNA from 1 species
GAAAGGGCAAACCCGGGGAAACCCGGGGGCGCAAAGCCGCGGGCCCUAACGCGUAGCGGCGAGGGCCGCCGGGCUGCCGAA